rnacentral:lncRNA from 1 species
GGGGAGGGUGGCUCAGAUCUCCCAAAGGAGAUUGAAGAGGAGGGUAUGGCGUCAGAGAUACAGCCAGGGCUGCUUUCUUGGAAUGAGUGUGAAGGGUACUGUGGGUUAUUUCCCAAUUCUGGGGAUGAUCCAAGUCCUGGCAGAUACAGAGGAGUUGAUUCUGCCUUCUUCACCUGUAGAUGGCAACAAUUCUGGGAAGAGUUCAAGUAUGAGGGAUUACAGUUUGCUUUACCCAGGCGAGUUCUGGGAAAAUUCUCCCAGAUUUGUCCGGGUCCUGCGACAGUAGCUGAUGGCAGGGUUUGCCUGGGAACUGACACAAAUGUGGAAAAACAUCAUUGGAAUAUUCCUGCUACUUCUGCUUAGAGGCUUGAGACCAAGAAGGUGAAGAGGGUUAU